rnacentral:rRNA from 1 species
UGGGGAAUUUUGGACAAUGGGCGAAAGCCUGAUCCAGCAAUGCCGCGUGUGUGAAGAAGGCCUUCGGGUUGUAAAGCACUUUUGUCCGGAAAGAAAUCCUUGGCUCUAAUACAGUCGGGGGAUGACGGUACCGGAAGAAUAAGCACCGGCUAACUACGUGCCAGCAGCCGCGGUAAUACGUAGGGUGCAAGCGUUAAUCGGAAUUACUGGGCGUAAAGCGUGCGCAGGCGGUUUGCUAAGACCGAUGUGAAAUCCCCGGGCUCAACCUGGGAACUGCAUUGGUGACUGGCAGGCUAGAGUAUGGCAGAGGGGGUAGAAUUCCACGUGUAGCAGUGAAAUGCGUAGAGAUGUGGAGGAAUACCGAUGGCGAAGGCAGCCCCUGGGCCAAUACUGACGCUCAUGCACGAAAGCGUGGGGAGCAAACAGGAUUAGAUACCCUGGUAGUCCACGCCCUAAACGAUGUCAACUAGUUGUUGGGGAUUCAUUUCCUUAGUAACGUAGCUAACGCGUGAAGUUGACCGCCUGGGGAGUACGGUCGCAAGAUUAAAACUC